AUCCAGAUUACAAGUCCCAAAUAGGACGAAACGCGCGUCCUGAAU
rfam:Schistosoma mattheei strain Denwood, Zambia genome assembly, scaffold: SMTD_scaffold0024653